CCUACGGGAGGCAGCAGUGAGGAAUAUUGGUCAAUGGGCGAGAGCCUGAACCAGCCAAGUCGCGUGAGGGAGUACUGCCCUAUGGGUUGUAAACCUCUUUUGUCGGGGAGCAAAAGCCGGACGUGUCCGGCUGUGAGAGUACCCGAAGAAAAAGAAUCGGCUAACCCCGUGCCAGCAGCCGCGGUAAUACGGAGGAUGCGAGCGUUAUCCGGAUUUUUUGGGUUUAAAGGGGGCGCAGGGGGAUUUUUAAGUCAGCGGUAAAAUCGUGGGGCGCAACCCCAUCCAGCCGUUGAAACUGGGGAUCUAGAGUGUGCGAGAGGUAUGCGGAAUGCGUGGUGUAGCGGUGAAAUGCAUAGAUAUCACGCAGAACCCCGAUUGCGAAGGCAGCAUACCGGUGCACAACUGACGCUCAGGCACGAAAGCGUGGGUAUCGAACAGGAUUAGAUACCCGUGUAGUC
rnacentral:rRNA from 1 species